rnacentral:tRNA from 1 species
ACCAGGUUAGCUCAGUUGGUAGAGCGCUCCACUUGUAAUGGAGAGGUCCCGGGUUCGAUACCCGGACCAGGCG